rnacentral:lncRNA from 1 species
GGAUAAGUGAGUUAUAAAGGGAAGGGAUCUCAAUUUAAACCAGAAAUGACUAAAAUACAUCUUUGACUGGAUCUAUGAAUAAAUCUAUGACUGGGUUUGGACAGUACUUGCUUUUUAGGCAAAACAAUGAAUGAUGCAAUCUGAAGCUGGUAUUGCAUCAUACAUGAUAUGAAUUGCAUCAUGUUAUUCCUAGAAGUCAUGGAUGAUGCAAUCAUAACGAAGCUUACAUCACUCUGCUGAACAAAUUGCCCUAUAUCAGCUCUAGAAAUCAUACAGUGUCGUGCUCUCUUAUUUGUCAGUGUUUGAUUUUGCAAAGGGACACAUUUCUGUUUAGCCAAAGUGAGCAGAGAUGCCUCGUACUUGUGUGAACAGUGCAGAUAACUUCUGCUAUGUUUGUGGUGAAGUGACUUUUGCAUCACAAAAGCGCAGUAUAACCACUAUGGUUAAGAAAGCCUAUCACCUUUCUUUUGGCUGCAAAAUUGGAGAUCAGGACAAGAGGUGGGCCCCACACAUAUGCUGCAACACUUGUGCAACAAAUCUUCGCCAGUGGUUGAACAGGAAAAGGAAAUCUAUGCCUUUUGCAGUGCCAAUGAUUUGGAGAGAGCCAACAGAUCAUACCAGCAAUUGUUACUUCUGCAUGGUGCCUCCAGUUGGGAAAGGUGUGUCAAAGAAGAAAAAGUGGACUGUGCAUUAUCCAAACAUUCCAUCAGCUAUACGCCCAGUACCCCACGGAGAAGGACUGCCGGUUCCUGAUGCACCAGAAUCAUUCUCACUUGAGUCAGACGAGGAAGAGGAAGAGGAUGAAACUUCUGGUCCUGAACCAUCAAUGUCACAGGACCCACAUUUUCUCCCAUCCUCCUCCUCUGAACCACACCUCAUAACACAAGGUGAACUGAAUGACCUUGUCAGGGAUUUGGAACUACCCAAGAGUAAGGCAGAGCUGUUGGGCUCCAGACUACAGCAGUGGAAUCUCCUGGCAGGCUAUCAGGGCAAAUGGAGCCCAUCAAUGCUUGCAGACUAUUGCUGGACAGUGACAAGAGAUGCU